CUUUGGUAUAGGUUCAAAUCCUAUUGGACGCA
rnacentral:tRNA from 1 species